rnacentral:rRNA from 1 species
UGGCGGCAGGCUUAACACAUGCAAGUCGAGCGGUAGCAGAUCUAGCUUGCUAGAUGCUGACGAGCGGCGGACGGGUGAGUAACGCGUAGGAACCUGCCCAGUAGUGGGGGAUAGCCCGGGGAAACUCGGAUUAAUACCGCAUACGCUCUACGGAGGAAAGAGGGGGCUUCGGCUCUCGCUAUUGGAUGGGCCUGCGUGAGAUUAGCUAGUUGGUGAGGUAAUGGCUCACCAAGGCGGCGAUCUCUAGCUGGUCUGAGAGGAUGAUCAGCCACACUGGGACUGAGACACGGCCCAGACUCCUACGGGAGGCAGCAGUGGGGAAUAUUGCACAAUGGGCGCAAGCCUGAUGCAGCCAUGCCGCGUGUGUGAAGAAGGCUUUCGGGUUGUAAAGCACUUUCAGUGGGGAGGAAGGCCUCGUAGUUAAUAGCUGCGAGGAUUGACGUUACCCACAGAAGAAGCACCGGCUAACUCCGUG